GAAAUGCGAUAAGUAAUGUGAAUUGCAGAAUUCAGUGAAUCAUCGAAUCUUUGAACGCACAUUGCGCCCACUAGAAUACUAAUGGGCAUGCCUGUUCGAGCGUCAUUUCAACCCUUAAGCCCUCGUUGCUUAGCGUUGGGAGCCUACGGCUGCCGUAGCUCCUCAAAUCUAGUGGCGGAGUCGGUUCACACUCUAGACGUAGUAGAUUUAUUCAUUCUCGCCUACGAGUUGGACCGGUCCCCUGCCGUUAAACCCCCCUUAACUUCCAAAGGUUGACCUCGGAUCAGGUAGGAAUACCCGCUGAACUUAA
rnacentral:misc_RNA from 1 species